rnacentral:rRNA from 1 species
CGCAUUUAUUAGAACAAAACCAAUCGGGUUCGUCCCGUCUUUGGUGGAUCUGAAUAACUCAGCUGAUCGCAUGGUCUCGCACCGGCGACGUAUCUUCCAAGUGUCUGCCUUAUCAACUUUUGAUGGUAGUUUAUGCGACUACCAUGGUUGUAACGGGUAACGGAGAAUAAGGGUUCGACUCCGGAGAGGGAGCCUGAGAAACGGCUACCACAUCCAAGGAAGGCAGCAGGCGCGCAAAUUACCCAAUCUCGGAACGAGGAGGUAGUGACGAAAAAUAACGAGACGGUUCUCUAUGAGGCCCGUUAUCGGAAUGAGUACAAUUCAAACCUUUUAACGAGGAUCUACGAGAGGGCAAGUCUGGUGCCAGCAGCCGCGGUAAUUCCAGCUCUCGAAGUGUAUAUCAUUGUUGUUGCGGUUAAAAAGCUCGUAGUUGGAUCUGCGCCUUUGGAGUCGGUCCUCCCMAGUGGAGCGCACUGGCGUCCUGGGCUACAUUGGCUGGUUUUCCCUUGGUGUCCUUCACCGGAUGCCUUGGGUGACUAGCACGUUUACUUUGAAAAAAUUAGAGUGCUCAAAACAGGCUUAUGCCUGAAUACUGGUGCAUGGAAUAAUGGAAUAGGACCUUGGUUCUAUUUUGUUGGUUUUCGGAAUGCGAUGUAAUGAUUAAGAGGUACACUGCGGGUCUCAAAGAUUAAACUGCUUGUCUCAAAGAUUAAGCCCCUCUGCGACGGCGAUCAGAUACACUGCUUGUCUCAAAG